UUAAAAAAAAAAAAAAUUUAACGUUGAAUUUAUUUCUAUAUUGUUUUGGUUAUUAAAUAUAUGUUUAUAAUAUUAUUAUAUUAUUUAUAAAUAUGUGGUUCUUCUUUAAUUAGCUGUUCUAUUCUUAAAUAAAUAUCUUUUAUUUAUAUUUAAUUUAUUUAUUAUUUUUUAUAUUAUUGUAAAGAAAUAUUUGAUUGCAUAUAGUUGCAAUUAUACUGUAGUUGUUAUUCUAUAUAAAUUUAAAUUCAAUGUUUGGCUUGAUGCGUUUAAAUUUAACUGUUGCAGUUAAAACUACAUGAUAAGACGCAAUUACAGCAGUUAAAAACUACAUCUAAAUUAAUCACUGCUGUUGAAGAGAGUAAUUUUAAAUAAAAGAUAAACUAAUCUUCCUAAUUACUCACAGAAAAUAUUUUUCUUUUUUAAAUUGUGGGUAAUCUCACCGUUGUAUAUGUAAGGUGAUAAAAUUUUUUUAAAAAUUUUUUAAAUACGCUUUUUAACUCCAUACAAAUAAAUAAAUUAUUUAUAAAAUUACAGUAAUUUUUAAUACAUUCAACCAAAUAAAAUGUAUGCAGUUGUAGCCACUAGCCACUGCAUAAUGAGGCCAAAAGUGGGGUGAAUUGUAAUAAGGAGAUAGGACAGGGACUGGGCGUUCAAUUUUACCUGAGUUUGCAUGAGUGAGUGGUCUCCUCCUUGGGACUUUGUCGUCACUUGAGAGUCGGGGGACGAAGAAACCACGGGCGAAAUAUCCAGAAGAGAGAGAGAGAGAGAGAGAAAGAGAAGAGGAGAGCGUUAAAGAGAGAGAAGAGGAGAGAGAAGAGAGAGAGAGAGUAAUAGAGGGAGAGAGAGAGAGAGGAACGAGGAGAGAGAGUAAUAGAGAGAGAGAAGAGGAGAGAGAGAAUAAGAGAGAGGAGAGAGAGAAGAGAGAGAUAUAUGGGGGUGAUCGGAGAGAG
rnacentral:lncRNA from 1 species